rnacentral:rRNA from 1 species
UACGUAGGCAGCGAGCGUUGUUCGGAGUUACUGGGCGUAAAGCGUGCGCAGGCGGUUUUGUAAGCCAGAUGUGAAAUCCCCGGGCUUAACCUGGGAAUGGCAUUUGGGACUGCAAGGCUUGAGUGCGGCAGAGGAGACUGGAAUUCCUGGUGUAGCAGUGAAAUGCGUAGAUAUCAGGAGGAACACCGAUGGCGAAGGCAGGUCUCUGGGCUGACACUGACGCUCAUGCACGAAAGCGUGGGGAGCAAACAGG